rnacentral:rRNA from 1 species
AGAGUUUGAUCAUGGCUCAGGAUGAACGCUGGCGGCGUGCUUAACACAUGCAAGUCGAACGGGAAAUACUUUAUUGAGACUUCGGUCGAUUUAAUCUAUUUCUAGUGGCGGACGGGUGAGUAACGCGUGGGUAACCUGCCUUGUACUGGGGGAUAACAGCCAGAAAUGGCUGCUAAUACCGCAUAAGCGCACGGGGCCGCAUGGUCCUGUGUGAAAAACUCCGGUGGUAUAAGAUGGACCCGCGUUGGAUUAGCUGGUUGGCAGGGCAACGGCCUACCAAGGCGACGAUCCAUAGCCGGCCUGAGAGGGUGAACGGCCACAUUGGGACUGAGACACGGCCCAGACUCCUACGGGAGGCAGCAGUGGGGAAUAUUGCACAAUGGGGGAAACCCUGAUGCAGCGACGCCGCGUGAAGGAAGAAGUAUCUCGGUAUGUAAACUUCUAUCAGCAGGGAAGAUAAUGA